rnacentral:rRNA from 1 species
CAAGUCGAACGAUGAUAUCACUGCUUGCAGUGAUUGAUUAGUGGCGAACGGGUGAGUAACACGUGAGGAACUUGCCCAUGAGCGGGGGACAACAUUCGGAAACGGAUGCUAAUACCCCAUAGGUGGAUUGGUCGCAUGACGAAUUCAUUAAAGGUGGCUUUGCUACCACUCAUGGAUAGCCUCGCGGCGUAUUAGCUAGGUGGUAAGGUAAUGGCUUACCAAGGCAGUGAUACGUAGCCGACUUGAGAGGGUGAUCGGCCACACUGGGACUGAGACACGGCCCAGACUCCUACGGGAGGCAGCAGUAGGGAAUCUUCCACAAUGGGUGCAAACCUGAUGGAGCAUAUGCCGCGUGAGUGAAGAAGGUCUUCGGCUCGUCAAGCUCUGUUGCUAGAGAAGAACACGUGCUAGGUAACUACUAGCGCCUUGACGGUAUCUAACCAGAAAGUCACGGCUAACUACGUGCCAGCAGCCGCGGUAAUACGUAGGUGACAAGCGUUGUCCGGAUUUAUUGGGCGUAAAGGGAGCGCAGGCGGUCUGUUUAGUCUAAUGUGAAAGCCCACGGCUUAACCGUGGAACGGCAUUGGAAACUGACAGACUUGAAUGUAGAAGAGGAAAAUGGAAUUCCAAGUGUAGCGGUGGAAUGCGUAGAUAUUUGGAGGAACACCAGUGGCGAAGGCGAUUUUCUGGUCUA